UCUCUGGUGGUCCAGUGGUUAAGACUCUGAACUUCUACUGCAGGGGGGUGCAGGUUUGGUCCCUGCUUAGGGAA
rnacentral:tRNA from 1 species